rnacentral:rRNA from 1 species
CCUGCCUAAGGAUGAGGCCGCGACCGAUCAGGUUGUUGGUGAGGUAAUGGCUCACCAAGCCUUUUACCGGUGCGGGCCGUGGGAGCGGGAGCCCGGAGAUGGGUACUGAGACAAGGACCCAGGCCCUACGGGGCGCAGCAGUCGCGAAACCUUUGCAAUACACGAAAGUGUGACAGGGCUAUCCCGAGUGCCAUCCGCUGAGGAAGGCUUUUACCCAGUCUAGAACGCUGGGGGAAUAAGGAGAGGGCAAGUCUGGUGUCAGCCGCCGCGGUAAUACCAGCUCUCCGAGUGGUGUGGAUGUUUAUUGGGCCUAAAGCAUCCGUAGCUGGCUAGGUAAGUCCCUUGUUAAAUCCACCGAAUUAAUCGUUGGAUCGCGGGGGAUACUGCUUGGCUAGGGGACGAGAGAGGCAGACGGUAUUUUCGGGGUAGGGGUGAAAUCCUAUAAUCCCGGGAAGACCACCAGUGGCGAAGGCUGUCUGCUAGAACGCGCCCGACGGUGAGGGAUGAAAGCUGGGGGAGCGAACCGGAUUAGAUACCCGGGUAGUCCCAGCUGUAAACGAUGCAGACUAGGUGUUUGGACGGCCACGUGCCGUUCUAGUGCCGCAGGGAAGCUGUUAAGUCUGCCGCCUGGGGAGUAUGAUCGCAAGAUUGAAACUUAAAGGAAUUGGCGGGGGAGCAC